UAAAAACCCUAUUUGUAAACAACCAGUCCUUUAACUCAGCGCUGCGUCAUAAACACGGAGCGCUUGGAAGACCACGAUGUCAUCUUCCUUCUGUCAGGAGGAUCAAAGUGAAGCUACAGGAGUUUCAUUAACGUCAACAACUUGGACCGAACAGUUUGUUUUGCUUGAUGAAGAGCAGGAAGGGCAGCCUGGAGAGAAAGAGAAGCCGGGUUGAGCCCACUACCAUCAUCCACGUACCACGAGGAAGAUGAGGGAGAGAAAUGAUCCUACCAUUAAAGAGACUGUGAAAAGAACGUUGAGAACAUCACCACUCUACAGGAAGACACAGUCCAGUAAUUGGUGUCAGAAGUUCAGUAGUGAACGACAGGCAGUACUGAUGCAUUUACUGAGAGGGGACGUGAGGGCCUACUCUGCGUGCUCAGAGUUCAAACCCAGCAGGCUGCAGCGGGCCUGACAUAUUCUGGAACAGCAGCACAGUCUUUAGAUGACUCCUCUGAAGAUGAAAACAUGGCGAGUUCUUCUCAAGAGAAGCAGUACAGGUGUGCCUCAGCUCCACGGUCCCUCCUGCAGCCUCCGCUCCUGAUGCUAACCUCAUGUCUCCAUCACACCAAGCAGCAGACCUGGAUUGACAGACCUUUCUCCAGAGCUGCCCCCUCCCUCUGAAACCCCCCUCUCCAAAACACUAUUUGUGUAGUUUUUAAAGUAUUUUUUGCAUGAGAAUUGUUGAUCAUAUCAUUUCCAGCAGAUGCCUUAAUAUAAUGUUUGUGCACAAUAAAUGACAUUGAUCAUAACAUAAUGGUAUUUCCUUGCACUUCU